rnacentral:lncRNA from 1 species
AUGUGGCUUGUGGGGCAUUUCACUGGUUUCCUUCGUACUGUAUCUACACAGAAAGGACAGAAAGAGAGGAAGUCCGAAGAUAGACCACAGUGGAGAUUCCUGCUGAUCCUGGGAUUUUCUCUCUGUAGUGAACAAGUUACAAGGUCUCUUCCUCAGUGCAAAGCCAUUGAUACCUGGUUAUGCCACCCUGAACCUGAAGGAGCAAUGGGAGUCAGCAGUGCAGGGAAGUGAUGUAUUCUGCAGCCCUUCAGUGAGCUCAGAGAAAGACGAGCAUUUAAGAGGAACAGAUACUUGCUAAAGUACAUGCAUCCUGGAGCACCGAGAUAACUAGAGAAUAUUGGUCUCCUGGUGUGAACAUUAAUACAUCUUUGAACACGGGAGAAGCUCCAGAGACCAGAAUGCUGUGGAUCCUGGGGAACUGUCAUUCUUCAUCAGGAGCAGGAUCUUGGUUGGUAAAGUUGCCCUGUUAAUGUAACAUAAUAAGAGCUUAUGAAAUGUCUGCUCUGUAGUGUCAUUAUUACAAAAUGGGCACUGUGCGGUAGGAGUUAGAUCCCUUUCCAAGUGUGUCAGACCCUGAGACAUCUCCAAAAGCAGGGGGUUCUAACAGGACCCCAGAGGAACUGGUGUAGUGGUCUCCGCUACUCUGCAUUUGUACCAGUGAUCUGCAAGUAAGUAUAAAAUUACCCUAAAAACAUGUACCAUACAUGUACCAUAAAGAAUUUGGGAUGGUGACUAAGAGACCACGCCAGUGACACCAGCAGGGAUUUCUUUUCAAGCUAGAUGCACUUAACACAACCAAACAAGUUUAUUCAUCUCGAAUCAAAGACUGCAUGCAAAUUUUUAACGAUGAAAGCAGCAGCCCUGGGAAGGAUUUAAGAACCACUAAGGCCAUGCAUCUGCACUCAGGCACCCGGUGUAGUGAUGUGGGAAGAAAAGCCAGUGAGAUCCUUGGGUAUAUAAACAACUACUGUGUAGAAAGCUGGGGGAGGAAAAUGAUCUUAUCUCCCUAGUUCACCUUUUUGGGGCCAAGGAUGAAAUAGUUCUUAUACUUCUGAUGUUGAUAAAUUGGACACAGAGCAAAAAAGAGCUGGCAAUUAACUGGUGGGAAGAAGGAAGGGACUAGAAGAGGCCAGUCAGCUUUCCUUAUGCAAAGGUAGUUGCAAAACUAGAUUGCAAAGUGUAAAUACCUAGGGAGAAAAUGGGCUUUCCACAUUACCAGAGAAAAACACAGCAGGCACUCAUGGUUGGGAAUAAAGCCAAGCAAACUGAAAUUAAAAACA